UACGGGGGGUGCUAGCGUUGUCCGGAAUCACUGGGCGUAAAAGGCGCGUAGGUGGUUUGAUAAGGUUGUGGUGAAAGUCCGGAGCUCAACUCCGGAUCUGCCGUGCCGACUGUCAAACUCGAGGGCUGUAGAGGCAGACGGAAUUCCGGGUGUAGCGGUGGAAUGCGUAGAGAUCCGGAGGAAGACCGGUGGCGAAGGCGGUCUGCUGGGCAGUUUCUGACACUGAGGCGCGACAGCGUGGGGAGCAAACAGG
rnacentral:rRNA from 1 species